rnacentral:pre_miRNA from 1 species
GCUUAUGGAUGAGCAAAGAAAGCGGUUUCUUGAAAUGGAAUCUCCUCCUGGUGGAGAUGCUGGGAA